CUGCACUUUUAACUGGACCAAACAAACCUGCACUUUACUUUAUAUGAGCAUGAUUACGUUAAGACUUAUCUUGUCCAUUGCUGCUGUUGUCGCUUUGAACUUCAAACUGUGUUUCAGUGUGUGUGCUCGUGCUGAAUAUGAGGUAAAUGGAGAAUGCUGCCCCAUGUGUGCACCAGGAAAUCAUGUUUAUUGGCAUUGUACUAUAGAUACCAGCACCACUUGUGUUCCAUGUCCUGCAUUAACAUAUAUCGAUGAGCCCAAUGGAUUAGAUAAGUGCUUUCCCUGCACUUUGUGUGAUGCGGGACAAGGGCUAAGGGUAAAGAGAAACUGUAUACGUUCUGCAGAUACUGUUUGUGAGCCACUAGAUGGAUUCUAUUGCACUGAGCGAAAUGAAGACA